rnacentral:tRNA from 1 species
AUUUAAAUAGCUUAAAAUUAAGAGUAUAAUAUUGAAGAUAUUAGGGUGAUUAAGAAUCUUUAGAUA